rnacentral:rRNA from 1 species
AUGAACGCUGGCGGCGUGCCUCAUACCUGCAAGUCGCGCGAACGGACGAGAAGCUUGCUUCUCUGAUGUUAGCGGCGGACGGGUGAGUAACACGUGGAUAACUUACCUAUAAGACUGGGAUAACUUCGGGAAACCGGAGCUAAUACCGGAUGAUAUUUUGAACCGCAUGGUUCAAAAGUGAAAGACGGUCUUGCUGUCACUUAUAGAUGGAUCCGCGCUGCAUUAGCUAGUUGGUAAGGUAACGGCUUACCAAGGCAACGAUGCAUAGCCGACCUGAGAGGGUGAUCGGCCACACUGGAACUGAGACACGGUCCAGACUCCUACGGGAGGCAGCAGUAGGGAAUCUUCCGCAAUGGGCGAAAGCCUGACGGAGCAACGCCGCGUGAGUGAUGAAGGUCUUCGGAUCGUAAAACUCUGUUAUUAGGGAAGAACAUAUGUGUAAGUAACUGUGCACAUCUUGACGGUACCUAAUCAGAAAGCCACGGCUAACUACGUG